UACAGAGGGUGCGAGCGUUGUCCGGAAUCACUGGGCGUAAAGGGCGCGUAGGCGGCCUGGUAAGUCGGGGGUGAAAUGCUGCGGCUCAACCGCAGCACGGCCUUCGAAACUGCCGGGCUUGAGCGCGGUAGAGGCUGGUGGAAUUCCCGGUGUAGCGGUGGAAUGCGUAGAGAUCGGGAAGAACAUCGGUGGCGAAGGCGGCCAGCUGGGCCGCUGCUGACGCUGAGGCGCGACAGCGUGGGGAGCAAACAGG
rnacentral:rRNA from 1 species